rnacentral:tRNA from 1 species
UCCCAAGUGAUCUAGCGAUUAGGAUUCCUGGCUUUCACCCAGGCGGCCCGGGUUCGACUCCCGGCGCGGGGG